rnacentral:lncRNA from 1 species
AUCGUAAACACGUUUGCAGAAUUAGAACCUCAUGCUGUGAAUCAAUUGAAAUCCGACAGUGAAACACUACCAAUUUACACAGCUGGACCCUUGCUCGACCUGGAGGGCAAAAGGCAAGACUCAGACUGCGAAAGGAUAAUGAAAUGGCUAGAUGACCAGCCUCCAUCAUCAGUGGUAUUCCUCUGUUUUGGAAGCAUGGGUAGUUUUGAGCCUGACCAGUUAGCAGAGAUGGCAAUUGCCCUCGAGCAGAGUGGCUACAGGUUCUUGUGGGCUAUCAGGUCGCCCCCAUCCAAGGACGAUAUCACAAAAAGGAUGGGUGAAUAUUCCAAUUUGUCUGAAGUACUUCCAGAAGGUUUCUUGGAACGUGUCGAGAAUCGAGGAUUGGUGUGUGGUUGGGCACCGCAGAUGGAGGUGCUGGCUCAUGAAGCAGUUGGUGGAUUUGUAUCGCACUGUGGCUGGAAUUCCACCCUGGAAAGCCUGUGGUAUGGGGUGCCUGUUGCAACAUGGCCUCUUUAUGCUGAGCAACAAAUUAAUGCAUUUGAAUUGGUCAGAGAAUUGGAACUAGCUCUGGAAUUGAAGUUGGAUUAUCGAACGGAAAAUGCAAAGAAUCUUGUAAUGGCUGAGGAAAUAGAGAAAGCUAUCAGAUGCUUGAUGGACUCUGAAAAUCCAAUCAGAGGGAGAGUUAAAGAAAUGAAAGAAAUGAGUAGAAAGGCCAUUCAAAAUGGGGGCUCUUCGUUCAUCUCAGUUGGACGCUUGAUUGAAGAUAUCCAUAUCAACAAAGCAAAUAAGGCAUAGAAUCAUUUCCGCCACAUGAUCAUGUUAUCAGCAGAUUAAGGGAAGUUUCUUCAGCUGCUCCUAUUUCCCAAUAUCAAUUUGCUUUGUUUAUUUUAGUGUUUCUUAAUCGAUCUUAUUAUCACAUUGGUGAUUAAAUUCAGGUUAUUACUGCUUCCUUAUGUUUGAAUAUAUGUUUUUUGCUUCAUACUGAUGUCUGGGAGUUCGUCAUUACUUCCCAUUUUUCAUAAGUAGUCCAUACUUAUCUUCUCAUCUUUUGUGAUUCCAUUAUUAAAGAAUUUUCUUGGUAAUCAUCUUUUCGGUUUGACAUGGUGAGCAUACUCUCAAUUGGAAUGAAAACUGAAAUUUAAGUAAGCUUACUUGGUCCCAAGCGUGUGCAUGCAAAGUUAUCACUUGUUAUACAUCUGAAGUUUGUAAUUCUAACUUAUUUUGUGUGUAAAUACUAAAUAGUGAAUACGUGAAAAUCAAGUGCAAAAGAAUUUGGUCAAAUCUUGGACAUGAAAUAUGGCCAAAUUUGCAUUCUUUCCCAAGUCAGGUCUUGAAUCAUGAUCGAAAUUUGUUCAAUUUCAAUCAAUUAAAUAUUGGAAUCCAGUAUCAUUUAGAUUUGGAUUUGGUGGCAAAUCAAUUGCAAUCUCCAUUAGUCAAUAAUACAAAGCCAGGAAUUCUUGAAGGUCCAGGUGAUCAGUUCCAGUUUUGCUUCUGUGAAAUAAAUAAUAGAAAGCGUGGUCAAGUGGCUUUGCUCAUGCAUGACCAAACCCCUUUCAUUUUUUACUCUUUUUCCUCUUUUCUGUAUAUCACAAACAAUGUAAAGAAUGACUGGGAAAGACUGAAAGAACCUCUAGGGACUAUUUUUAAAUUACUGUAAAAGAACCUAUCCGAUUAUUUUAUUUAUUUGCUGUAGUGGGGCAAAUCCGCGCAUGACAUGUGUCAGGUCGGUAGACCGCGCACGGCAGGUCGGCAGUAGGUACCUCGAGGCUGGCAUGGGCCAGCUCGGCAUAAGAAAGCCAGCUCGGCAUGGCGGGGGUCUCCUAUGAUGGGCUUGAUGGGCCGCCGUCUCCGAACAUUUAGGGGCCGCCGCGGAAAACCCUAGGAAGACUCCGAACCCUAAGGGGACUUUGACUCCCAUAAGGAAACUACAACUCGAACGGUCUUAUAUAUACUCCGCUACCAAGACUACGGAAGGUACGCUCACAAGUAUUCUCUACUAUUACUAUACCCUUCUACGGCCAAACUAACUUGACCGUCGGAGUUAUCCCAGGGACAUCAGUCCCGCCUCCGUUCUUUCUUCCCAGGUCACCUAGCACGAUCCCAACUCGAUUUGUCCAAUCAGGUCGGCCGCAUCAGCUCAGCUCGGACACGGUUUUUGGCAGUCGCAUCAAUUGGCGCCGUCUGUGGGAAACCCGUUACACUUCAUUGCGAAUCAUGCCGAAAACUAGGUCGCAGAGGAACGCUGGCGGGCCCAAGGGGGCCGAGCGUGGUGGCUCCCAAAACCCCUCUCGGGGUCCAACACCCGGAGAAGGAGGGGCAGGGCCCUCACGAAUCCCGCCUGAACAACUGGUUCAGACAGUGGCCGAAAACCUGCCCACCUUCGAGGCAAUCAUGAACUACCUCAAAGAGCAGUCGGGAGGUCAUCAGGACAAGGAGCCCAAGGUUCAGGGAGCAGAUCAGUCAGAAUCUCGAACGGGGAGUCCCACCAAAACUGGGGCCAAGCGAGCACACCGGGAAGUCACGCGUGAGCAAGUCGAGGUCAUGAAGCCUUCUCACAAGAACUCCCGAACUGAACACCCGGAACCCGUCCGGAGGCUCCCCAGGGGAGACCUCUCCCCCCGGAGAGAGAGACAACAGGUGCGGGACGAGCUGGACCUGCUUCUAGACCCAGAAGCGGACAGGUACAUUACCUCCCCCUUUGUGCUCGAUAUCGAGGAAUACCAACUGCCUGCGAAGUUCAAAAUUCCAAACAUGAAACCUUACGACGCAACCACGGAUCCGGAGGACCACCUGUUCGUAUUCAUGACGCAGAUGCGCUUACAGACAGCUGCGGACGCGGUCAGGUGUAAGACCUUUCCAAUGUUCCUGGAAGGAAGGGCCCGGCAGUGGUUCCAGGGGCUUCCCCCUAGGUCGAUCGGUUCUUUUAACCAGCUCGCACGGCAGUUCUCUGCACAGUUCGUUUCCUCACGGGCCUACUCCAAAAGCACCGCUCACCUCAUGACUAUCCAACAGAAGCCCGAGGAGUCCUUGCGUGAAUACAUGGUGCGCUUCAAUAAUGAGUCCCUUCAAGUUCGAGAUCGCGACGAUAAGGUGGUCAUGGCCGCCUUCAUCAAUGGGCUGCGCAAGCAAAAGCUUUACACCGAGCUUGUGGAGAGACCUCCCAAGUCAGUUCGGGAGAUGCUAGACCGAGCCCAUGAGAAGGCCAACGCGGAGGAAGCAAAUCGCCUUAAGAGUGCACAAGAGAAACUGAGGGAUGACAAGCGCAAGAAGGGCGCCGACCAGGUGAGGGCACGGCCUGACCAGGGAAGGAAGAUUGCUUAUGACCGUCUCCCCAAGAGCCGCCCAAUGGGAGAGGACAAGUCUUGGAUUGGCCUCACGGCACCUAGAGCUCGAGUGCUCGCAGUGAUGGAGUAGGAGGGGCUAUCCCGACCUCCUCGGCCCUUGGCUGGGGACAAAAAUCGACGGGACCAAGGUCUGUAUUGCGCCUACCAUCGUGAUGUGGGGCAUGAUACGGAGGACUGCCGUCAUCUCAAGAAAGACAUUGAAAAACUAAUCAAACGAGGCCAUCUGGGGCAGUUUGUACGAGAGGAACGAGCUGACCAGCAACGGGGAAGGCCUAGAUCGGAACGUCCAAGCUACCUACGGGACCGGCCUCAGGGGCCCCGUGGCCGAACUCCCGAGCAGGAAAUACAGAACCUGGCGGGGGUGAUUAACACUAUUGCCGGGGGACCUGCGGGUGGAGAUAGCCAUGCAGCUCGGCGGCACAACCGCCCCCCUCCCACGGGGGAGAGCUCGGCCAAGCGAUUGAAGAUGUAUGAGGAAAUAAUUUAUAGACCUGAAGACGCAGUCCCUUUGGCCUCUAAUAACCAUGAAGCUAUUGUGAUAGAAGUCAUCACCUGUAACUACAAAUGUUGUGCCUUCUUUUGCAUUUAACAAGUAUGGUGGUUAUGCCUCAUUCUUGAAACAUGCUACAAGGUUCAAAGAGACAAAAGGAAUCAUCGUAAACACGUUUGCAGAAUUAGAACCUCAUGCUGUGAAUCAAUUGAAAUCCGACAGUGAAACACUACCAAUUUACACAGCUGGACCCUUGCUCGACCUGGAGGGCAAAAGGCAAGACUCAGACUGCGAAAGGAUAAUGAAAUGGCUAGAUGACCAGCCUCCAUCAUCAGUGGUAUUCCUCUGUUUUGGAAGCAUGGGUAGUUUUGAGCCUGACCAGUUAGCAGAGAUGGCAAUUGCCCUCGAG